rfam:Fervidicella metallireducens AeB contig00010, whole genome shotgun sequence.
GGACCAUUAGCUCAGUUGGUAGAGCACCUGACUCUUAAUCAGGGUGUCCUGGGUUCGAGCCCCCGAUGGUCCA